UAAACCUAUCAAGCAUAACUUUUUCCUUCUUCCCUCACUACCGCAGCCAACAUGAAAGGGUGGACCAGGCCAGCAUUUCUUCUUCCCUAUCCACCACAAACAACAUCAAGCGAUAGUCUAACAAGACGACUCCAUCAAAGACGAUAAGAACGUGAAGCAAAUCAAGGAAUGAUCUGCUCUCAACUUAUCCUUACAAGAAAUCUGUCUUGUCAAUUGGGAUGGCACCCAAAAAAAAGGUAGGAGAAGGAUCAUUGGACAGUGAGUUCAUUCAACUAAUGCCAUAGCUAUGCAUUGUCCUUCCCUGGAGCCACCACAUCAAGUCCAAUCAGCUAAUGACUCACUGGAAUCACUACAGCAAAUCCAACCAGCUAAUAACUCACUGGAAUCACCACAGCAAGUCCAGUAAGCUCAUUAGUCAAUGGAAUCACCACAAGAAGCUAAUGAAGAUUCACUCCUUGAAAAUUCUGGUGUGAAAUCAUAAAUUUUUGUUUAUACUAGAAAAAAGUUAUAAACUAUUUUGAGAUGAAUUGUUUAGAGUUAAAAGUAUUUGAAUUUUACUAAUUGAAAUCUCUAGUUGUAUAAAUCAUGAUCUGGUUUGAGGCUUUGAAAUUAAGAAUGAUUUAUGAGUCUUGUAAGGAUUCCAAUUCAUUGUGCCUUUCCUCCUUCUAAUACUUGAUGGUUUGAAUCCUUGAGAUUUCCUAGGACACCAAUGAUUCUGUUUCCAAAAAUGUUUGAAUCCUUGUAUCCUUGAUGGUGUGUGAGUAAUGGACCUUAAAAAUGUAUAUAUUUUUUUAAUACCAUCAA